UCAAUAAUUGUCUACAACUUUUACUUUUCACUGCCGCCAUUUCUAUAUCCUAACUGACUGAUCCAUUUUGUAACAUACACACUAUGAAGAUGAUUGAUACCGAGGUGGGCAUGUUUGCCAAAUGGACUAAUAGAUAAAGUUGGCCAAUAAAAGCAGUAUUAUGGAGGGGUUCCAUGAAAAAAAAAAAACAAUCUCAACAACUACUGGAUUAUUGUUAAAUUGCUUUAAUUGAAAAAUCCAGCCACCACUGCAAGUCUCAUGUCAACCUCUGUGAUUGGCUUUGAACAACCUCUGGACACGGAUAAAAGCAGGAAAUCACUUGCAGAGAUUUGCCAUGUGAAGGAAGGACAUCUGCAACCAAUUUCCUGCAUCAGUGCAUGACUGCUAGGGAUCAACAAGAUGCUUUGAUUGACAUGUCUGGGGAUUACUCCUGGUCGGUAGUGCAAUAUCAGUUCAUGUAGUUACACAUGUAAACGUGGUUAUGGAAGGAAGUGGAUCAAAGUAAAAUGUUUAUUUCUCGUA